rnacentral:misc_RNA from 1 species
UCCGGUUUGUCACCGGCAGUCUCCUUAGAGUUCCCACCAUUACGUGCUGGCAACUAAGGACAAGGGUUGCGCUCGUUGCGGGACUUAACCCAACAUCUCACGACACGAGCUGACGACAGCCAUGCAGCACCUGUGCAGGAUCUCCGAAGAGGGGCUCUCGUUUCUGAGAGCUUGCUCCUGCAUGUCAAGCCUAGGUAAGGUUCUUCGCGUUGCGUCGAAUUAAACCACAUGCUCCACCGCUUGUGCGGGCCCCCGUCAAUUCCUUUGAGUUUCAAUCUUGCGAUCGUACUCCCCAGGUGGAUUACUUAAUGCGUUAGCUACGGCCCUCGGGGGGUCGCUCCCCCAAGCGCCUAGUGCCCAUCGUUUACGGCGUGGACUAC